CAGGGAGACAACAAAAUGUUUAAUAUUAAUUUUGUCACCUUAGGUCGAUCGGUAUCUCACAUUCUUAAUUUAUUAAGGAUUUUAUUUCCUAAGUUUUUUCUAGGUCACACCCAUUACUUUUCCUGGGCCAUUAGCUCAGGUGGUUAGAGCGCACCCCUGAUAAGGGUGAGGUCCCUGGUUCAAGUCCAGGAUGGCCCAUAUCUCUAUAAUGGGGGUAUAGCUCAGUUGGUAGAGCGCCUGCUUUGCAAGCAGGAUGUCAGCGGUUCGAGUCCGCUUACCUCCACUGAUUACCACCUCUUCAUUAUGUAUUUAGUAUUUAAGGGAAAAGUUUUGAGAUGUGAUCAAAUUCUGAACGAAUCUAGCUUCCUAAUUUAAACAUUAAGAUGCUGGACUCAUUGAAUUAAUUUCAUUGUUUUCAGAGAACCUUGACAACUGCAUAGAUUAUUUUAAAGACAAUUAAGCAUCUUAAAUGAUGCAGAUUUAUUAUUUGUGCGAAAGCAUCAAUAACAAUUCUAUUAAGCUGAUGCUUCAAUUUUUUGAAGUUAUU
rnacentral:tRNA from 1 species